rnacentral:rRNA from 1 species
GAUGAACGCUGGCGGCGUGCUUAACACAUGCAAGUCGAACGGUGAACACGGAUCUUGCUCUGUGGGAUCAGUGGCGAACGGGUGAGUAACACGUGAGCAACCUGCCCCUGACUCUGGGAUAAGCGCUGGAAACUGCGUCUAAUACUGGAUAUGUGACGUGAUCGCAUGGCCUGCGUCUGUAAAGUAUUUCGGUUGGGGAUGGGCUCGCGGCCUAUCAGCUUGUUGGUGAGGUAAUGGCUCACCAAGGCGUCGACGGGUAUCCGGCCUGAGAGGGUGACCGGCGACAAUGGGACUGAGACACGGCACAGAAUCCUACGGGAGGCAGCAGUGGGGAAUAUUGCACAAUGGGCGCAAGCCUGAUGCAGCAACGCCGCGUGAGGGAUGACGGCCUUCGGGUUGUAAACCUCUUUUAGCAGGGAAGAAGAGAAAGUGACGGUACCUGCAGAAAAAGCGCCGGCUAACUACGUG